rnacentral:tRNA from 1 species
UGGAGACUAUUUUAAUUUAGAAUAUUUAGCUGUUAACUAAAAGGUUUGUUUCCAU